UGAGGCAACGCUAGCCAAAAUAAGAACUUUUAAACUACACUACAAUCUUAUGGAAUUACUCCUAUAGAUGCAGCCUCUUUUUUCCACUGGAUGGUUUUAGCUCCCUUGUCGAAGAUCCAGUGACCAUAGGUGUGUGGGUUCAUCUCUGGGUCUUCAAUUCUGUUCCAUUGGUCUACUUGUCUGUCACUUGGGUACAGAAACCAAUUAUCUUUGACAGACACUCUCAACCUCGGAAUGUACCAGUCAUCACUGAUAGCAAAGACCAGUAAUUCUACAAAAGUAUUUGACAGUUUCUUAUUUUAAAACUAAGCUAAAUACAUACUGAUAUAACAUUGCCAUUGAACGCCUAGGCAUUUAUUUCAGAGAUUUAACAAAAAAAAGCAGCUGAUAUCUACACAAGUGCCUGUAAGCAAAUGUUCAAGACAACUCUGUGCCUAAGAGCUCUGAACCAGAAACCAGACUA
rnacentral:lncRNA from 1 species